UACGAAGGGGGCGAGCGUUGUCCGGAAUUAUUGGGCGUAAAGAGCUUGUAGGCGGUUUGUCGCGUCUGCUGUGAAAAUCCGGGGCUCAACCCCGGACUUGCAGUGGGUACGGGCAGACUAGAGUGUGGUAGGGGAGACUGGAAUUCCUGGUGUAGCGGUGAAAUGCGCAGAUAUCAGGAGGAACACCGAUGGCGAAGGCAGGUCUCUGGGCCACUACUGACGCUGAGAAGCGAAAGCAUGGGGAGCGAACAGG
rnacentral:rRNA from 1 species